CCUACGGGUGGCAGCAGUGGGGAAUAUUGCGCAAUGGGCGAAAGCCUGAUGCCGCGACGCCGCGUGAGUGAUGAAGGUCUUCGGAUCGUAAACCUCUGUCAGCAGGGAAGAACGGUCACUGUGCUAAUCAGCAGUGAAUUGACGGUACCUGCAAAGGAAGCACCGGCUAACUCCGUGCCAGCAGCCGCGGUAAUACGGAGGGUGCGAGCGUUAAUCGGAAUUACUGGGCGUAAAGCGCUCGUAGGCGGUAUGUCAAGUCAAGGGUGAAAUCCCCGCGCUCAACGUGGGAACUGCCUUUGAAACUGGCAAGCUGGAGUGUGUGAGAGGAUAGUAGAAUGCCAGGGGUAGGAGUGAAAUGCGUAGAGAUCUGGAGGAACAUCAGUGGCGAAGGCGACUAUCUGGCACAUAACUGACGCUGAGGAGCGAAAGCGUGGGUAGCAAACAGGAUUAGAUACCCUAGUAGUC
rnacentral:rRNA from 1 species